CAGUCGCGUCGGCCGGGGAUCAGCCUUGCUUAAUCGCUCGGCGUACUUCCUGGCAGACGGGUCAGCAUCAGUUUUGACCGUCGGAAAAUGAUUGGAGGAAUGUAGCUUUGAUCUCGUAUCGAAGUGUUAUAGACUCUGGUAGAUGUGACGAUUGGGAUUGAGGAUUGCAACGGAUACCCUUUGGGGGCUACCCGUCUGAUCUCUGAAGGUUGCUCCGGUGCCGAAAGCGUGCUUACGG
rnacentral:rRNA from 1 species